rnacentral:misc_RNA from 1 species
GAUGAAGAACGUAGCGAAAUGCGAUAAGUAAUGUGAAUUGCAGAAUUCAGUGAAUCAUCGAAUCUUUGAGCGCACAUUGCGCCCCCUGGUAUUCCGGGGGGCAUGCCUGUCCGAGCGUCAUUACAACCCUCAAGCCCAGCUUGGUGUUGGGCCCCGCCGCCCCGGCGGGCCCUAAAGUCAGUGGCGGUGCCGUCCGGCUCCGAGCGUAGUAAUUCUUCUCGCUCUGGAGGUCCGGUCGUGUGCUCGCCAGCAACCCCCAAUUUUUUUCAGGUUGACCUCGGAUCAGGUAGGGAUACCCGCUGAACUUAAGCAUAUCAAUAAGCGGAGGA